rnacentral:rRNA from 1 species
CCUACGGGAGGCAGCAGUGGGGAAUAUUGCGCAAUGGGCGAAAGCCUGACGCAGCGACGCCGCGUGAGGGAUGAAGGUCUUCGGAUCGUAAACCUCUGUCAGCAGGGAAGAACGGUCACUGUGCUAAUCAGCAGUGAAUUGACGGUACCUGCAAAGGAAGCACCGGCUAACUACGUGCCAGCAGCCGCGGUAAUACGGAGUGUGCGAGCGUUAGUCGGAAUUACUGGGCGUAAAGCGCUCGUAGGCGGUAUGUCAAGUCAAGGGUGAAAUCCCCGCGCUCAACGUGUGAACUGCCUUUGAAACUGGCAAACUUGAGUGUGGGAGAGGAUAGUGGAAUUCCAGGUGUAGGAGUGAAAUCCGUAGAUAUCUGGAGGAACAUCAGUGGCGAAGGCGACUAUCUGGCACAUAACUGACGCUGAGGAGCGAAAGCGUGGGUAGCAAACAGGAUUAGAUACCCUUGUAGUC